rnacentral:rRNA from 1 species
UACGUAGGGUGCAAGCGUUGUCCGGAAUUAUUGGGCGUAAAGAGCUCGUAGGCGGUCUGUCGCGUCUGCUGUGAAAACUCAGGGCUUAACCCUGAGCUUGCAGUGGGUACGGGCAGACUAGAGUGCGGUAGGGGUGACUGGAAUUCCUGGUGUAGCGGUGGAAUGCGCAGAUAUCAGGAGGAACACCGAUGGCGAAGGCAGGUCACUGGGCCGCAACUGACGCUGAGGAGCGAAAGCGUGGGGAGCGAACAGG